UUUGUUCCUUCAGUCUCCGCCCCUUUACGGCACGAUGGUCGCGCAAGAAUGUAAUAGAGCUUCGACGGCCGCCAUUUUCUUUCUUUCUUAGCUGUUAGCUGAGAGGAAGUCUCCGAACAGGCGCCAGCGGCUCUUGUAGUGUAACCAUGGCUGACUAUUCAACAGUGCCUCCACCCUCUUCUGGCUCAGCUGGUGGCGGUGGUGGCGGCGGUGGUGGUGGAGGAGUUAACGACGCUUUCAAAGAUGCACUGCAGAGAGCCCGGCAGAUUGCAGCAAAAAUUGGAGGUGAUGCAGGGACAUCACUGAAUUCAAAUGACUAUGGUUAUGGGGGACAAAAAAGACCUUUAGAAGAUGGAGAUGGCUCUUGGACAAGUCCGAGCAGUACAACACACUGGGAGGGAAUGCCCUCUCCUUUUAAAGAUCAACCAGAUGCUAAGAAAGUUGCUCCUCAAAAUGACUCUUUUGGAACACAGUUACCACCGAUGCAUCAGCAGCAAAGCAGAUCUGUAAUGACAGAAGAAUACAAAGUUCCAGAUGGAAUGGUUGGAUUUAUAAUUGGCAGAGGAGGUGAACAGAUCUCACGCAUACAGCAGGAAUCUGGAUGCAAAAUACAGAUAGCUCCUGACAGUGGUGGCCUUCCAGAAAGGUCCUGUAUGUUAACUGGAACACCUGAAUCUGUCCAGUCAGCAAAACGGUUACUGGACCAGAUUGUUGAAAAAGGAAGACCAGCUCCUGGCUUCCAUCAUGGCGAUGGACCGGGAAAUGCAGUUCAAGAAAUCAUGAUUCCAGCUAGCAAGGCAGGAUUGGUUAUUGGAAAGGGGGGAGAAACUAUUAAACAGCUUCAGGAACGGGCUGGAGUUAAAAUGGUUAUGAUUCAAGAUGGGCCGCAAAACACUGGUGCUGACAAACCUCUUAGGAUUACAGGAGACCCAUAUAAAGUUCAACAAGCCAAGGAAAUGGUGUUAGAGUUAAUUCGUGAUCAAGGUGGUUUCAGAGAAGUUCGGAAUGAGUAUGGGUCAAGAAUAGGAGGAAAUGAAGGGAUAGAUGUCCCCAUUCCAAGAUUUGCUGUUGGCAUUGUAAUAGGAAGAAAUGGAGAGAUGAUCAAAAAAAUACAAAAUGAUGCUGGUGUUCGCAUUCAGUUUAAGCCAGAUGAUGGGACAACACCAGAGAGGAUAGCACAAAUAACAGGACCUCCAGACCGAUGUCAACAUGCUGCAGAAAUUAUUACAGACCUUCUUCGAAGUGUUCAGGCUGGUAAUCCUGGUGGACCUGGACCUGGUGGUCGAGGAAGAGGUAGAGGUCAAGGCAACUGGAACAUGGGACCACCUGGUGGACUACAGGAAUUUAAUUUUAUUGUGCCAACUGGGAAAACUGGAUUAAUAAUAGGAAAAGGAGGUGAAACCAUAAAAAGCAUAAGCCAACAGUCUGGUGCAAGAAUAGAACUUCAGAGAAAUCCUCCACCAAAUGCAGAUCCUAAUAUGAAGUUAUUUACAAUUCGUGGCACUCCACAACAGAUAGACUAUGCUCGGCAACUCAUAGAAGAAAAGAUUGGUGGCCCAGUAAAUCCUUUAGGGCCACCUGUACCCCAUGGGCCCCAUGGUGUCCCAGGCCCCCAUGGACCUCCUGGGCCUCCAGGGCCUGGAACUCCAAUGGGACCAUACAACCCUGCACCUUAUAAUCCUGGACCACCAGGCCCGGCUCCUCAUGGUCCUCCAGCCCCAUACGCUCCCCAGGGAUGGGGAAAUGCGUAUCCACACUGGCAGCAGCAGGCUCCUCCUGAUCCAGCUAAGGCAGGAACGGAUCCAAAUUCAGCAGCUUGGGCUGCUUAUUAUGCUCACUAUUAUCAACAGCAAGCACAGCCACCACCAGCAGCCCCUGCAGGUGCACCAACUACAACUCAAACUAAUGGACAAGGAGAUCAGCAGAAUCCAGCCCCAGCUGGACAGGUUGAUUAUACCAAGGCUUGGGAAGAGUACUACAAGAAAAUGGGUCAAGCAGUUCCUGCUCCGACUGGGGCUCCUCCAGGUGGUCAGCCAGAUUAUAGUGCAGCCUGGGCUGAGUAUUAUAGACAACAAGCAGCCUAUUAUGCCCAGACAAGUCCCCAGGGAAUGCCACAGCAUCCUCCAGCACCUCAGUGCAGGUUUGAUCCAGCCAGUAUAGAACUAGCUCUGUAGGGGUGAGGAGGACUGUGCUGUGUAUCAUCCUUGAUUGUGUUCCUUCAAGGAGCAUUGCACUUGCCUUCCCAGACCUUCCACCUUAGGUUCUGCUGCAAAAAGCACCAGGUAAGCACAACCUAAGGACAUAUAUAAAUAAAUAUUUCAGUACAUUAAUGUUGUCCCUGUGAGGUUUUUGUGGUUGUGUAUUCAAAGGCAAUCUGCUACUGCUUCCCCAAAAUGUAUUUUGUUAUUUUAUGCUACCAUCUUAGUGGAAAGUCUGUAAGUUGUUAAAGCAACUGUUUACAUUUCUGGGUAAUGUUUUUUGUUUUACUUUUUUUUUUUUUUUUAAUUAAGACAAGAAAAUGAUGAGUAGAUUGCUGCAGUAAUUGAACUACAUCCAAAUCUUUUUGUAUUUUUUCCCCAAAUAUUGAAGUGUUAAGAUUAAGAAAGGACAAUUACACAGUUUUCAAGAUUUAGGAAAUCACUUGUUUAGAAACUUCAACAGCCUUCACAAUCUGUUUUAUAUGAUGGACAGAAAAUUUCUUUGCCCUCCAAAAUUAUAAUUUCUUUAUUUUUUUCUUAUUCUUAAACUAUAAUAAUUCAGUAAGGAUAUUAUGGGUUAGAAUUUAUGAUUUUUUUCUUAGACAAAAGUUAUAUGCUGAAAAAGGAAAAAGUUAUAAGGCAGUAUGUUUUGAUAAAAGGCAUGUGCAUCAGUGAAAUGUUAACUGUAUAGCAAAUAACCUUUCAUAAUCUGUAGCAAUCAGUAUUUUUCUGAUUUAAUAAUAUUUUAAUAACUGACGCUGCAUUUAUUUAAUUUUUUGCCAGUUUAAAAUGUUUGUGUGUUUUUAUAGAUGAUUUUAACUGGUACAUAUUUUGAGUUAAGAUGAAUGUAUGAAAGCAGCAUCUUAUCAGUUUUGUUUAUUCGAUUUCUAAAAUGUGCUGAUCCUUUUAAAACUCCUGCUUAUCUCUGCAACAAAGAAAAAUAUUCAAAAAUACUGCCUUCAUUUUCACACACAGUGCUGAAGAUGCUGCAAGCACCAAAUCAUAGCUCAUAAAAUCAGGUCCUGAGAUAGUUACCCAUAAAGAGGAAUCCUUUGAGUGUAUGCCAUUGGUGAGCCGAUGAGCAUGGACCAUAGAAGGGCUCAAUGUAGAAGGUAAAAUUGGCAAAUCAUAAUUGAGAAAUAUGAAAUGUAUUCCCAUACAUAAUAUGGUAUAGGGUGUAAUGUACCUGCUUUUGAUCACUUUUCAUUUUAAAGUGCUAUUCACUUGAUCUUAAAUGUUCCAUGAACUGUUAAAUUUCUUAAGUUACAUAGUUACUACACCACAUUUAUGUGUAUGUUAUGUUUUAAUAGUCAAUGAUAGGUAUGUACAGUUGAUAAUAUAAAGGGGCUCAUUGAAACUUGAGAGCCUGUCGAGUUUUGGUUGUAGAUUGCAUUUUUAUAAAAAAAAAAAAAAAAAAAGAUAGAUUGAUGAUAAUAGAUAUUGGGGCAUUGUUUCUGUCUCAUGAGAAUUCUUUUAUUCAUUACCAUAAGCCUUCACUGAUACUAUAAGCAUUAUUUUAAAUGACGCUGAUCUUAAGUCUGAAAUAAAUGGAAAGCAGAAAAGGUGAGCCAGUUGAUUUGAAUGCAUUGGAUAUUAGUGUUAGAAACAAUGUAUAGUUUAGAUUGAAAUUGAACUGACUUAUUUUAUUUAGCACUUAAACAAAUUUGACAAUGUUUUUAGUUUUUUUUUAAGGCAGCUUAGUGUGGUGAUACUUAGAAUUCUAUGGUUUGAUGUUUCUUUUAGAAAUGACAAGUAUAGUUUUAUUUUUUAAUAUCAAAAAUGGUUUUAAUACUAAAACUAGUAAUUUGAUACUAGUUGUUUAUAAACAUUGUAAAAUAUAUCUUUUAAACAAAUUAUCUUGGUAGUUAAUUCAUAAGGGUGGGUUUGGGUAGGAAUAGCAGAGUACUUUCAGAGGGAAAGGAGAGUCAUUCAGAAGUGAUAGCAUUUUAUUUGUUUGAAUACUCUGCCAGUAAAAUCAGCUGUACUUAGAAAGUUAUCUGUUGUGUAGAAUAAUGAUGUAGAGUUUACUAAUAGUGAGGAUGUCUUGUUUUUAUUUUCUGCAAACUCUGCCUCACUUUAAAAUGCAUUAUAACAAUACCUAAUUAAAGAUAAUUUUGGCUCUAAAAGUUACGUUUUUUGUUGAGUUAGUGACUUCAUUUUUCUUGCCACGAUAUAAGCUUUUGAGGGAUUUUUUAAAAUUGGUGCUUUUAAUAAGCAAAUAAAUCCCAGGGUUUUAUUUUCUUCAGUGAUACCCCUAUAGAAACUCUUAAAUGUAUUUGCGCAUAUAUAUAUAUUUUUUCUUAUGCAUGCUCGAUGCAUUUUCGUCCUGAGAAAAAUGUUCUCUACAGAAACUACCCGUGUGUAAAAAGAAGAUUGGCUUAAAAUGGCUACUGUGAUGGGAACAGUGUCUUAGGGAGAUGCAGCUUGGACUUGAGGUAAAUUGAAUACUUUACAAACUGUGGUUUAGAGUUUGCUUUAAUGACAUUGUAUGUAAAAGGUCACAUGAUUGCUGUAAUUUUGUAUUCAUUAUGGUUUCCUCAAUAAAUGUACAUUGAUGAAUAUUAUAA